GCCAAAUCCCAUCCCUCCUUCCAGGGAGAGUCAUGGGCAGUGCUGGGUAUGUUAGGCUGGAGCUGGAACAGCUGGCUUUGAGCCUGGACAUUCUCCCAGCUCUGCGGGAGGCAUCUCUUCAAUGCUCCGUGCUUCAGAUUCUCCAGUGGGACCAGAGGAAGAGUGAUUUAGAUCUCCUUCACAAGGACCUGGCUGCAGACUGCUCACUCAAGGAGAACAUCCUGCUUUGCACUGGAAUGAGAAGUCUCCCCAGCUCUGAUCCAGAAUUUGAGGACCCAGAGGAUAGAGCCUGCUGCCAGGCACUGCGAGCCCAGCCCAGCCCAGCCAGAACCACAUUCCCCAGCGUUUUGUCCCUGUACCUUUUGUAAUCAAUAUCAGCAAAAGACUUAGCACUCUCAAGGAGGUAAGUUAGGAGCAGUUGUACUUUCCAGCGGAGCAAACUCUAGAACACUUAAUUCUCCUUUUGCUUCUGCCCAGUCUCUUUGCUGAGUUAAACUGAACUUACUCUGAAGGCAUUCAAGAAAUACAUAGAUGUGAUACUUAGGAACAUGGUUUAGUGGGCA
rnacentral:lncRNA from 1 species